UAAUACGUAGGUGGCAAGCGUUGUCCGGAUUUACUGGGCGUAAAGCGCCCGCAGGCGGCCUGUCAAGUUCGAGGUGAAAUCUCCCGGCUUAACUGGGAGGGUGCCUCGAAAACUGGCAGGCUUGAGGUGUGGAGAGGGAUGCAGAAUUCCUGGUGUAGCGGUGAAAUGCGUAGAUAUCAGGAGGAAUACCAGUGGCGAAGGCGGCAUCCUGGCCAUAUCCUGACGCUCAGGGGCGAAAGCGUGGGGAGCAAACCGGAUUAGAUACCCGGGUAGUCCACGCCGUAAACGAUGAGUACUAGGUGUAGGGGGUAUCGACCCCCUCUGUGCCGAAGCUAACGCGAUAAGUACUCCGCCUGGGGACUACGGCCGCAAGGCUA
rnacentral:rRNA from 1 species